UCCCUGGUGGCUUAGAUGGUAAAGAAUCUGCCUGAAAGGCAGAAGACCCAGGUUUGAUCUCUGGGUCAAGAAG
rnacentral:tRNA from 1 species